UACUGAGUUUUUAACUCUCCAAACCAUGUGAACUUACCACUGUUGCCUCGGUGGUCGGUGCUGGAAACAGUGCUGCCACCGGUGGACUACUAAACUCUUGUUAAUUUUUGUCAAAUCUGAAUCAAACUAAGAAAUAAGUUAAAACUUUCAACAACGGAUCUCUUGGUUCUGGCAUCGAUGAAGAACGCAGCGAAAUGCGAUAAGUAAUGUGAAUUGCAGAAUUCAGUGAAUCAUCGAAUCUUUGAACGCACAUUGCGCCCAUUAGUAUUCUAGUGGGCAUGCCUGUUCGAGCGUCAUUUCAACCCUUAAGCCUAGCUUAGUGUUGGGAGACUGCCUAAUACGCAGCUCCUCAAAACCAGUGGCGGAGUCUGUUCGUGCUCUGAGCGUAGUAAUUUUUUAUCUCGCUUCUGCAAGCCGGCCAGACGACAGCCAUAAACCGCACCCUCUCGGGGGGCACUUUUUUAAUGGUUGACCUCGGAUCAGGUAGGAAUACCCGCUGAACUUAAGCAUAUCAAUAA
rnacentral:rRNA from 1 species